rnacentral:rRNA from 1 species
AGUGAACGCUGGCGGUAGGCCUAACACAUGCAAGUCGAACGACAGCACAGUAAGAGCUUGCUCUUACGGGUGGCGAGUGGCGGACGGGUGAGGAAUACAUCGGAAUCUACUUUUUCGUGGGGGAUAACGUAGGGAAACUUACGCUAAUACCGCAUACGACCUACGGGUGAAAGCAGGGGAUCUUCGGACCUUGCGCGAUUGAAUGAGCCGAUGUCGGAUUAGCUAGUUGGCGGGGUAAAGGCCCACCAAGGCGACGAUCCGUAGCUGGUCUGAGAGGAUGAUCAGCCACACUGGAACUGAGACACGGUCCAGACUCCUACGGGAGGCAGCAGUGGGGAAUAUUGGACAAUGGGCGCAAGCCUGAUCCAGCCAUACCACGUGGGUGAAGAAGGCCUUCGGGUUGUAAAGCCCUUUUGUUGGGAAAGAAAAGCAGCAGGUUAAUACCCCGCUGUUCUGACGGUACCCAAAGAAUAAGCACCGGCUAACUUCGUG